rnacentral:rRNA from 1 species
AUUUGUGGAGCCGUCCUUGAAAUACCACCCUUGUAGUGUUGAUGUUCUAACGUCGACCCCUUAUCGGGGUUGCGGACAGUGCCUGGUGGGUAGUUUGACUGGGGCGGUCUCCUCCCAAAGAGUAACGGAGGAGCACGAAGGUGGGCUAAUCACGGUUGGACAUCGUGAGGUUAGUGCAAUGGCAUAAGCCCGCUUGACUGCGAGAAUGACAAUUCGAGCAGGUGCGAAAGCAGGUCAUAGUGAUCCGGUGGUUCUGAAUGGAAGGGCCAUCGCUCAACGGAUAAAAGGUACUCCGGGGAUAACAGGCUGAUACCGCCCAAGAGUUCAUAUCGACGGCGGUGUUUGGCACCUCGAUGUCGGCUCAUCACAUCCUGGGGCUGAAGUCGGUCCCAAGGGUAUGGCUGUUCGCCAUUUAAAGUGGUACGCGAGCUGGGUUUAGAACGUCGUGAGACAGUUCGGUCCCUAUCUGCCGUGGGCGUUGGAAGAUUGAAGGGGGCUGCUCCUAGUACGAGAGGACCGGAGUGGACGAACCUCUGGUGUUCGGGUUGUGUCGCCAGACGCAUUGCCCGGUAGCUAAGUUCGGAAUCGAUAACCGCUGAAAGCA